UUUAAUAAUUCAUCUCAUAUCAUGGGCCUACAUACUGCCAGUGGUAUAAUAGCCACAUCACUGUCAUUUCAUCAGUAAUCAUUUUUGUUUUUUGAAGAUGUUAAUAAUGUAAAUUUUUAUAUUUUCUUUCAAUAAAGAGAAAAAUUAACAAUAGGCCUAUAUCUUUUGAUAAUAACAUUUGAGGCUAUGGUUAGCGUAAUGAAUAAUAGAAAUAUAAAAAUAGAUAUAGGCUAAUUUAGUUGUGUGCAUAGGCCUAACUCUAAAUAAUAUGGUAUUUCUUUCAGGUUUUCAAUCCAUUGACAGAAAGCCAUGUUUGUUGCAAUAUAUUGUUUGUGGUAGACACUGGGAAAAAACCGACUAUUGAAUGUGUAUUUAUUUUGCCUCUUGGUACAAAACUGAUGGAAGAGCAGCCAUGAUGAAGCAGUAAAGGUUCUUGGAUACCUUGCUUCAAUACCUCUGGUCGGACAAGAAAAGACUUGGCUAAGGAGUAGAGCUUCAAAUAAUUUAUCACCAAGAAAGUUACUGAUUUAAACCGAAACCUGUAAUGCGAAAGAUUCUUAAUUAAGCUAAGUGGACGUGCAAUAGUAGCUGUUGUUAUAUUACAAAAACUAUGAUUUAAACAUGCCUGUAUAGUACAAUGCAUAAUAUUUUAUGUUUUUUGCAAGUUUCAAUAAAAGAAAAAUGGUCAAGUA